AGUAAACGGCGGCCGUAACUAUAACGGUCCUAAGGUAGCGAAAUUCCUUGUCGGGCAAGUUCCGACCUGCACGAAUGGCAUAAUGAUGGCCACACUGUCUCCUCCUGAGACUCAGUGAAGUUGAAAUGUUUGUGAUGAUGCAAUCUCCCCGCGGCUAGACGGAAAGACCCCAUGAACCUUUACUGCAGCUUUGCAUUGGACUUUGAACCGAUCUGUGUAGGAUAGGUGGGAGGCAGUGAAGCUAGGACGCCAGUCUUAGCGGAGCCAACCUUGAAAUACCACCCUGAUUUGUUUGAGGUUCUAACCUAGGAGCGUGAUCCGCUUCGGGGACCGUGCAUGGUAGGCAGUUUGACUGGGGCGGUCUCCUCCUAAAGGGUAACGGAGGAGUGCGAAGGUACGCUAGGUACGGUCGGAAAUCGUGCUGAUAGUGCAAUGGCAAAAGCGUGCUUGACUGCGAGACCGACAAGUCGAGCAGAUACGAAAGUAGGUCAUAGUGAUCCGGUGGCUCUGCAUGGAAGGGCCAUCGCUCAACGGAUAAAAGGUACUCUGGGGAUAACAGGCUGAUACCGCCCAAGAGUUCAUAUCGACGGCGGUGUUUGGCACCUCGAUGUCGGCUCAUCUCAUCCUGGGGCUGUAGCCGGUCCCAAGGGUAUGGCUGUUCGCCAUUUAAAGAGGUACGUGAGCUGGGUUUAAAACGUCGUGAGACAGUUUUGUCCCUAUCUGCCGUGGGCGUUGGAAGAUUGACGGGGGCUGCUCCUAGUACGAGAGGACCGGAGUGGACUCACCUCUGGUGUACCGGUUGUCACGCCAGUGGCAUCGCCGGGUAGCUAUGUGGGGAAAGGAUAACCGCUGAAAGCAUCUAAGCGGGAAACCUGCCUGAAGAUAAGUCUUCCUGGAGGCUAGACCUCCCUAAAGAGUCGUUCGAGACCAGGACGUUGAUAGGUUGGAUGUGCAAGCGCUGUGAGGCGUUGAGCUGACCAAUACUAAUUGCUCGUGAAGCUUGAUCCU
rnacentral:rRNA from 1 species